rnacentral:rRNA from 1 species
GUAGGUGGCAAGCGUUGUCCGGGAAUUAUUGGGGCGUAAAGCGCGCGCAGGCGGUUCGUUUAAGUCUGAUGUGAAAGCCCACGGGCUCAACCGUGGAGGGUCAUUGGAAACUGGAGAACUUGAGUACAGAAGAGGAAAGCGGAAUUCCACGUGUAGCGGUGAAAUGCGUAGAGAUGUGGAGGAACACCAGUGGCGAAGGCGGCUUUCUGGUCUGUAACUGACGCUGAGGCGCAAAAGCGUGGGGAGCAAACAGGAUUAGAUACCCUGGUAGUCCACGCCGUAAACGAUGAGUGCUAAGUGUUAGGGGGUUUCCGCCCCUUAGUGCUGCAGCUAACGCAUUAAGCACUCCGCCUGGGGAGUACGGCCGCAAAGGCUGA